rnacentral:ncRNA from 1 species
GAGCGCCGUGUGCGGUGAAAGUCGCACGCACGGUGCGAAGCGGGGGAAAAGGGACACAUAACGGGUAAUGCCGAUGUUUACCCUUAC